UUGCUCAUUCUCUUCAACUCCAUUAUCCAGGCAAUCGAAAAGUUUUUUCACACCAGUCGCGUAGUCUUUACUCCAAAAACCAUUUGAAAAGCUCGAUAUCAUUUCAAUUCGAGACUGAAACUGUCACAACCUGUCAAGAAAUAUAGAGGUGGUUGACAUGUCUACGCCCUUUAUUACUCAACUUAAGUAAAUAGCGAAUUGCUACGCAGAAAAGUUUUACCCAUCAAGGAUGCCAAAAGUAUCCAGUAAAUAAGACAACAGAUACGUUACUUGACACACAUAAGAUAGCAUACCACUAAUCCUUUAUAAAAUGUAAACUUCAUUCAGUUGAAUAGCAGCCUACGCUUUUACCCACUUUGUAUUAUUAAUGCUAUGGUUGGAUCGAUGGUACAAUUAAAAACUACAAAAUUUUA